AGAGUUUGUAUCCUGGCUCAGGAUAAAACGCUGGCGCGCACAUAAGACAUGCAAGUCGAACGGACUUAACUAAAAUGUUUACAUUUUAGUAGCGGUUAGUGCGGGACUGGUGAGUAACACGUAAGCAACCUGCCUAUUAGAGGGGAAUAACAAUGAGAAAUCAUUGCUAAUACCGCAUAAACCAUAGUUAUUGCAUGAUAGCAAUGGGAAAGAAGCAAUUCGCUAAUAGAUGGGCUUGCGUCUGAUUAGAUAGUUGGUGGGGUAAAGGCCUACCAAGUCGACGAUCAGUAGCCGGACUGAGGGGUUGAACGGCCACAUUGGGACUGAGAUACGGCCCAGACUCCUACGGGAGGCAGCAGUCGGGAAUAUUGCGCAAUGGAGGAAACUCUGACGCAGUGACGCCGCGUAUAGGAAGAAGGUUUUCGGAUUGUAAACUAUUGUCAUUAGGGAAGAACAAAGACAGUACCUAAAGAGGAAGCUCCGGCUAACUACGUG
rnacentral:rRNA from 1 species